UACGUAGGCAGCAAGCGUUGUUCGGAGUUACUGGGCGUAAAGAGUGCGUAGGCGGUCCUCUAAGUUUGGUGUGAAAUCUCCCGGCUCAACCGGGAGGGUGCGCCGAAAACUGGAGGGCUCGAGUGUGGGAGAGGUAAGCGGAAUUCCUGGUGUAGCGGUGAAAUGCGUAGAUAUCAGGAAGAACACCAAUGGCGAAAGCAGCUUUCUGGGACGGUACUGACGCUGAGACGCGAAAGCGUGGGGAGCGAACAGG
rnacentral:rRNA from 1 species